GAAUCCCGUAUAUGGCAUGGACUCCCGUUGCUCUGUGAUACACUCUCGACGAGUCGAGUUGUUUGGGAAUGCAGCUCUAAAUGGGUGGUAAAUGCCAUCUAAAGCUAAAUAUUGGCGAGAGACCGAUAGCGAACAAGUACCGUGAGGGAAAGAUGAAAAGCACUUUGGAAAGAGAGUGAAACAGUACGUGAAAUUGUUGAAAGGGAAACGCUUGAAGUCAGUCGCGCCGUUCGGGAUUCAGCCUUGCUUCUGCUCGGUUUACUUCCCGUUGGGUGGGUCAACAUCAGUUUCGGACGGAGGAGAAAGGCUUGGGGAAGGUAGCAGCAUUCGUGCUGUGUUAUAGCCCCCUGUUGUAUACUUCGAUUGGGACUGAGGACUGCAGCACGCCUAUGGCCGGGGUUUACCCACGUACGUGCUUAGGAUGUUGGCAUAAUGGCUUUAAGCGACCCGUCUUGAAACACGGACCAAGGAGUCUAACAUGUGCGCGAGUGUUUGGGUGUUAAACUCGGACGCGAAAUGAAAGUAAAAGGUUGGGAACACUUCUGUGCGCACCGACGCCCGGAGCAGACCUUCUGUGACGCAUCUGCGGUAGAGCGUAUAUGUUGGGACCCGAAAGAUGGUGAACUAUGCCUGAAUAGGGUGAAGCCAGAGGAAACUCUGGUGGAGGCUCGUAGCGAUUCUGACGUGCAAAUCGAUCGUCAAAUUUGGGUAUAGGGGCGAAAGACUAAUCGAACCAUCUAGUAGCUGGUUCCUGCC
rnacentral:rRNA from 1 species